GGUUGAUAAAUAUACCUUUUCUGGUUUCAUUUAUUUUAAGAGAAUUUUUUCACCCCAUGACAGUCAUUUGGGGCUGACAGCGUUACCAUGGUAACCAUGCUCCACAAUGCUGGUUGCUGGUGAAUACUGGUCCUCAGCACCUCAGCACCUUUCACUACAGUGCUCACUCCCUUAUGGGAAGGGAAGCCUUGCUCACAGCACAUUUAGGUCAAGGAACCCACGCCCAGUGGCAGUUGGUACUAUAACAGAAACCUACUGGAUUUUCCUCCCAGGAACCAGUCUAAAGAUUCCAUUGAGAACGCUGGCUCAACCCAUAUCAUCAUGGCUUACAUUUCCAUUGUAACAGAUAGAGGCAAAACUUCUUUGUUUCCUUUUCGGCUGCACUGUGAGAGCUCAGAAGCUCAGUCAAUGCAACACCUAAUGCACUGAGGGAAAAUUUCGGUUGUGAAUGGACAUGCCUUCCCUAGAGGCAGAGAAGUUUGCAAACUACUUUUCAAAUCUCUCAUUGUAUGAUUUUGAAAUAAAAAUGCUUCUUUCCCGAGCGGGAAGGAGAGAUUUUACUCUGGGUGGUGCCCUGGGAAUCUGAUGAUGGAGCAUAGUCCAGGGCCGUCCUGGAGGUGAUGACUGUCAAGGCUCUGGCGGGGUGAUCUCUCUCGUGGUGAUCUGGAUGGGGUUGACCUCUCUUCUCCACAAACGGGGGAGAGCCUCUCCCCUUCAACAAGGUUUUGUGUAUGAGAAGCGGGGGUGGGGAGUGGAGCUUGUUAGAGAAAGCAGCUUUGAAAACUUCAUUCUCCUUGCCAAGAACUAAUGGACUGUCUUCAACGUGCAUGAAAUCUGUUCAGCAUGGUGACCAGGGGAGCCAAAAUGAGGCCUCCACAGACCUAACUGGGCGUCAGCCUACAUCUGUGUGAGAAGGUCUGGAUGUGUUUAUUUUAUUCUCUGCUGUAACUAAGAAAAAAACCAACAAAAACCCUGCGAAGGUUCAUUGAGACAACAGUUGGUCACAAAAAAGGAAUUUGAACCAAGAUAACGCUGGUUACAUUUUAUCCACAUGUUCCUGAAGCCUGCACUAACGGUUGAAUACGUAGCCUUUCACCAUUAGAUAAAAAAGUAACGGAAUCAGCCUAGUCUUUAGGAAAUUAAAGGAAUCUACAUACACACACAUAGAUAUCUUUUGAUAACUCAGGAACCACUGACAGAAUGAAAGGAUUCCUAGACCAAGUGAGACAUUUCACUUUCUGAUCAUCUUUGUCCCGUGUUGGGAGAGGCAAACGUGUGUUGGAGUGGAAACCCAGGGAGAAACUGCUCCCCUGUCAGUUGCAGUGACAGCCAGCCUUUGUGGAGCUCUAUGAGCCAGGCACUGUUCCUCAGCACUUUCCAGUAGGAUUUCACUGAAUGCUGAUUAACAGCCAUUUCAGGUGAAUGCAAUCAUAAUCCCCACUUUACUGUUGUGGCAAGUGAAGCACAGAGAACUUAAGUGACUUGCCCAACAUCACACAGCUAGUUGUACAGGACCUAUGCCUCUUGUGUAAAAUGAUAUGCACCCCCCGCCCAGCUUUGUGGCUCAAGGUCCUCGGAGCAAAAUGCUACAGCAGGAAGGGGAGAGGAAAUCUGGCUGUGGUAUACUGGAGGGGAAAAAACAAGGGAGGCUCUUAAAGUCUAGGCAAGGCAAUGUCUCCAAGGACAGUGCAAUUUCUCAUCAGUGAGCUAUUGGUCAGACUCCCCAGUCUCAGAGGCCUGUCCAGGGUUUCUGUGCUGCCAGGGUGACAUUGCUCAACCGCCUGUAGGGGAGCUGCAGCCCUGGAAAGAAGCCCAGGCUGUAGGGCUGCCGGUAUCUGGCUGGUCUUCUACUCCAAGAUAGAGGAGAAUGUCAUUCCUGGGUAAAUUUUUCUUCAAAUGACCUUUCUGAGAUAAGCCCUGUCCACCUUUCUGAGAUAAGCCCUGUCCAUUUCAGCAUCUGCCUUCCUCAGUAUGUCCUCUCCAGCACCAAAAAGGCAUGUCCUCUGAGAUCCAACCAGUUCCCCUGACAUCCUUGGGUACUGGUGACCGUGCUUCUAGAGGAGUGAAGUCACUCCCAGCAUUGCUUUUCCGUGGGGAUCCUGUCAUGCUGAUGGUGGUGUGACACCUGAGUACAGACUGGCUUUUCAGCAAGAUGCAUUUCUUUUUAGUUUAUGCUGCCAGUUUUCCCUGGAGAAUCAAGUUCUGUUUAAUCCAAGUGGGAAAUGUUUGGAAUGGUGAUGUCACUGUCUGUCAUUGGAAAUUAAAAAGCAGGGGGGACAUAUGCCAACACCUUCCCUUGGAAUUUCUUUACCUGACCUUUCAAUAUAGUAACAGAGUGUCUUAGAUCUCAAAUCUUUUCACCGUUUAUCACUUGGUCGUCAAGAUGAUGAAUGCUUCUGGCCCUAAAAUAUGCAUUAUUACAAUUCUUUGGUUUAAAAAUAUAUGGAUAGCUUUAAUAAAAGGGAUGACUGGAUCAAUUAAACUUUCUAAAUCCAAAGUCAAGCCCUCUUGGUUAAACCUAUAAUAUUGUGUCUCAUAGGUUUAGUUUUAAACCAAGGAUUUAAAGCAUAACCUAUCUGUUCCUCUGAGGAAUUUAACUUAAAAAAAAAUCCAAUUGGGGAUAAUUGUUCACAUCUGCCUAAUGAUGUUGCUAUUUGAAAAGACAUAAGAGAAUGUACAUUUUUGAGUUACAAUAGCUUUCAGUUUAUAAUUGAAAUAAAAAUGGGAAAAUUUAAUUUUAUAUGAGGACUCAAGGUAACACAUUUUUUUAGCAUUAUCAGACAUUGAUUUUUUUUUCUUAUUUUUUUCUGCUUUUGUGCAGGUGAUGUACAGAGGAGCAGAUGUGUUGCCUCUAGCAAGGCAAUAAUUCACUUCAUUAUUAUUGUUUGAUUUGCCUUGUGUGUGCUGUUCAUUGCUAACUGAGCCCUGUAGUGCUGUCCAUGGGAUCUGAAAUGUACAAGAACGGGUCAGAAGGCCUUGGGAGAACUGAAAAAGAAGUCAUUGCCCUGGCCUCAGUCACCUGUCCCCAGACAAAAAUCACACCCUGUCACCCAUGAAGAUUUGCAGACCAGCCCCCACUCAGCUGCUGUUUCUGACCAUAGUCCUUGCUGCCCUAGGCUCUUACCCAUGGGACCGAGAACGUUAAUGUCAGAAAGAAGUUAGAAACUGAUAUUGAAGAGCAGACCUGUGUUGGAAAGAACAUAGUUCAAGGGAGACUGGUGAAUGAAGAAGGGAAGAUCAAUGUGAUGGCUGGAGCUCUAGCUGCCACAUUGGACCAUGAAGUGAAUUCAAGAUGGAAGCCAUAUGCUAAGUAUGGCAGAACAAAAAGACAGAGGAAAGCUGGAACUUUGAUGACACUGUAGCUCCCAUACCAGCCAGAAUCCAGCCUUAUUUUGUAUGAGAGAGAAAUAAGCUUCUAUCUUAUUGAAACCACUGUUAUUUCCUCCUUCACCUGGGACAUCACAAGCCUAGGGAAUCUUUGGAAGGCUUUGACCAGAGUGAAAAAUUAGGGAUUUUAUUUGUUUGUCUUUUGGUGAUUGUGAAGAGCAGUCACUGUUGGGAACCCUGGAGCAAAUGCCAUCUAAGAUGCCUCGCGGGGCUCCAGUGUUUUCUGACUCCAAAGCCCCCUUAAGCAUAUUCUGCGCAGUUCCACACAACUCAGCCCAGAGGAGAUGGCGGCCCUCACCGUGAAGCCCCGUGAGAGAGUCGGCGUGUACCCCGGGGAGCAGCCAGCACGGCAGAGCGUGUGACUUGCGUGGCGUGUGGGAGAGGGCCCCGGGGCCGUGCCUGUUUCUUAGCUGGUUCUGCUUUGGAGCCAGUGAAUUGGCCUCGCCUGGGGCCAGCGGGACCUCGGCCCAGACGGUGACUGUCCACCGCCUUGUUCCCGACGGCCCCGGUCCUUCUCGCCAUCGUGCUGUGGCGUGGAACACCCGACACGCCUGCCCCAGGUCCGAGGAGCACGUCAGGAAUCCCACAAGCCUGCCUUGCAUCCUUGAGGCCGGCACCCUUCACGUGAGAUUUUGAAUGCAGUCAUGUGUCUCCAGCUGUCCCCGAGUCACAAAAAGUCCCCGUUCUAAUGAGGAGCUGUGGAAUGCUAAGGCUAAAGCUGCCUUGAGCUCUUCUUUCACAAGUUUCAAUCAUGGGUUAAUGCUGACGUGCUUUGGCUUUAGUAAAUGGGGAGGAGCCUUUUGUGUUUGUGAGAGGGCAGAGGCAGGAAUAAAUCGUGGCUCUCGGGGCUGACUUUGAUCCAGAAGUGUGUGUCUAGACUGCUUCUGAGUGGCAGGGAGAACAGGGGUGCGGUGGUCCAUGGCAGGACCCUCCCUGCCUGCUGGGCACCCAAGCAGGAGGGGGCAUGCACGGGUACGUGUGCAGGGGGGAGCGGGUGUGCCUCAGCUAACGGGGUCGGCCAGCACCUGCUCUCGCCAUGCACCAAUGACAGCCUAACGUUGCCAACACUUCUGCUUCUCUAGAGAAGUCGGAAGUCUCGGUGUUGCCUGAGUUCUCCCAAUGUUAACAUGAUGACACCUUGAAUUUACAAAAUUCCUCAGACCAAGAAAAUCACAACUUCUAGCCACAGUCUGAGACUCUGAGUAGAAAACCUGGCUCAGAGGACUGGUCUGGCUGUGCUCCAAUACUCUAUUCCCAAAAGAGCAGAACCCCCAAAGGAGGCUAUUAAGUCUUAAGAGCUAAAUCCAUCUCCUUGGUGAUUUCCUUGGUUGGAGGGGAAGGAAGUUCUCUGGCUUUCUAAGACCCUCGAAAUCCCCUUUCUUUACUGCUGUGUAACAACCCCGCUGCAGGGCCAGGGAUCGGCAGUGCUCACCUGCCCUCUGCCUCUAUCUGCCCCUGCUCCCAACAACCCCUAAUAACAUAGUCCACUCCCUGGACUUCCUUGGGUGUGACACCCAGUAUACAGACUGUAACACCAUCUCCUCUCCCACCUAGAAAAACACCCAAACCCAAGUAACAUGGGAGUAACUUAUGACAUGGACAACCUUGAUGUUUCAUUUAGUUUUUAAAGGUUAAUCACUUAUGCACUUUGGUACUCUAGCAGAAACAAUUUAUUCAUGACACACGCCCCAGUAGAUGAGUAGUGGCUCCAGAAUUUCUAUGUGGGAAAAUCUUAGGGGUGGCAUUUUGUUGGGAGCAAGGAAUAGCUAAAGGAUUUCUUCUAAAGCUACAUUCCAUAUCAAACUCUCUUUAUCCUCAAGUUGCACAUUUAUCUAAAAAACAAAGGAAACCUCCAGAAGCCAGGCUUUGGCCCUGCCAUUGUGGUGGGUCAGGACACAUGCAAGAGCAACAAUACAGGUAGGGACCCCCCUCCUUGAUAGGUAGAGGGUUAGGCAGAACAAAGUCCCAGAACAACCCAGGUGCAGCAUACGCCCCUAGUGCUCAACAAAGUAUUCAACUUGCGGCCAUCACCAAGAAGCCUACAAACAAUAAAUGCUGGAGAGGAUGUGGCGAAAAGGGAACCCUCCUACACUGUUGGUGGGAAUGUAAAUUGGUGCAGCCACUGUGGAAAAGAGUUAUGCUUCCUUAAAAAACUACCACAUGAUCCAACAAUUUCGCUCCCGGGUAUAUACCUGGAAAAAACGAAAACUCUAAUUCAAAAAGGUGCAUGCACUCCGACAUGCAAAGCAGCGCUGUUUACAAUAGCCAAUACAUGGAAGCAACUCAAGUGCCCAUCCACAGAAGAUUGGCCUAAGAUGUGGUAUAUGUACACUGUGGAAUAUUACUCAAGUAGCCAUAAAAAAGAAUGAAAUACUGCCAUUUGCAGCAACAUGGAUGGACCUAGAGAAUAUCAUUCUUAGUGAAGUAAGUUAGACAAAGAAAAGUACUAUAUGAUAUCAUUUAUAUGUGGAAUAUAAAAAAUAAAACAAAGGAAUUUAUGUACAAAACAGAAACAGACUAAAGCACAGAAAACAAACUUAUGGUUCACCAAAGGGGAGAGUGAAGGAGGGGGGGAGGGGCAAAUUAGCAAUAUGGGAUUAACAGAUACAAACUACUCUACAUAAAAUAGAUAAGCAACAAGGGUUUACCAUAUAGCACAGGGAAUUAUACCCAAUAUACUGUAAAAACCUAUAAUGGAAUAUAAUCUGCAAAAAAACAAACUCAAAUCACUUUGUUGUAUACCUGAAACUAACGUGAUACCAUAAAUCAACUAUACUUCAAUUAAAAAAAUAAUUAUAAGAAAAUAUUCAAUUUGGAGGCUGAGGAUUUUGAGCCUAAUCCCUGAAAGUGUCCUGAACCAAGAUGAUGUAUUCUUACCACCAGGCUGAGCCAUUCUGGAUAAAACCAAACCCACUCCUUGGCAAAGGUCAGCGGUGAUGUCAGUAACAUCUCAGACACCUACUCCCAUGGGAUCCUUCUACCAGGCAGCCAGAUGGCUCAUUAUGACCAAAACGCAGCCCUCCAGGUCCAGUCCCCUGGCUUGUGGGCAGCAGAUGGCCUGGGGGACAGGGACUCCCCAUUGCUCAGAGUGGAUCCCAGGGGAUCCUGC